UCUGUGGAUUUCGACAGGCUGUUUC
rnacentral:piRNA from 1 species